rnacentral:lncRNA from 1 species
AAAAAAGCAGCAGUUAAAAAAAACUCAAAACUCGCACCGCAAGUCACAAGUCAUAAGUAUCGACUGGAGACGGUAGCAUUGUAAGCGCUGACAUUGCGAAGCAGGUAGAAGCAAAUGUGCCAUGUGAUACCCCACAUCACCAUUUGAAGAAAUGUAUCCUGGUCCUGGACAACUAAAUAAUCACAUGUAAGAACGCUGGUUACACCAAGCAACCGUGUUCUUAGCGUUGAAGGGUUGGGCUCCGUCUCAAUAUAAUAUACCAAGCUGCAUCAACCUAAUCGUGGAGGUCCUGACCGUGUGAACUAGCUAGGAAGAAGCUUGCGACCUUACGUGGCAAAUGCGCAGAUCACUGUUCCGACGGAAAAUCCAGCUCUUGACCUGAUACACGCCUUUUCCUGCUCACGGAAAAAAAAGGGUGCAUCGUCAUCCUACAAAAACAAAAGGUGCAUCAAGCAGUGAUUUUUAUUGUAUCUCAGAUUUUUUUUGUCAGUACUUAAUAACCGUAUUAAGGGUAAGAUUAUAUAUUACGCCUUCGUGAAGUGCAAGUGUGAAGCUGGUAAGAGAAUGAAAUGAUCUCAGUUCAGGUAAAUCACAGCAGGCUGUAAGAAAUUCAACAAGGAUUAUUACUGAUACAAGGAUAGCCCAAAAAAAAUCAUAUGGUCAGGAAGCUUUGUCAGUUGGACUUCUUGAUGGAUGAUUGCUGCAACUAUCAAAUGUCAAAGUGUGAACAAACAAGCUGGAUUUAUCUAUUGCAUAAAAUACAAUCAUAUAUCAUCUUAUCAUUGACUCCCAUUUUUUCUUUGUGCUAACCACGACUAGGAAGAGAUCUGCAAGAUGGAAGCAAGAGCCUCCUUCUACCAGAUGCUCUUCCUUGAUUCGACCAUUGUUACUUUGUCUAGACAGGACAAAGCUUAAGCAUCUGGUUUCCGUGCUAGUUCCAAAAAGAAGCCAUGCAAUCACUCCAUUUUCCAUACAAGAAAUGCAGCAGAAGAUUACCCAUACCUUUCCUUGGCCUUGCUCUUUUGCUGCUGAUCUGCAUGGCCACACCCACAAGUUCCUGCACAGAGCAGGAGAAGGCCUCUCUCCUGCAGUUCCUUGCAGGGCUCUCGAAUGAUGCCGGCCUAGCCAAGUCAUGGCAG